UUUUUUUAAUUUAACCGUAUAUGAUUGAUUUAUGUUUCAAUAAAUCAUUUUCGAGAAAUAAUUACAAACGUUUCCGCAUAUCGGUGUGUCACACUGUCACCAGUAGUCUGUUUUUACACGUAAGUUUUGGAGAAAUUUUAAAUUUCCAUAAAUUAAAGUCACGCCAUCCUUAUAUAAACUAUUCGUAUGCUAUUUGUAUAAGCACUCAAUUCUUGACAAACACAACGACAAUACUACAAUAAAAAAAAAAAUUACCUUGUAAAAAAUAUAGACUUUGUAUUUGCGGAAUAAAUGUCAAAAAGUAAGAUAUUGUUAUGGAAAGCACUUAGACAUAUUAAAUCUUAAAUCCCUGUAUUGUACACUACUGCUUCCUGUGGCGUUGUGGUCUAUAGGAAAUAGAAAGUGCUCGAGUUGGCAGUCCUGAAAAUCUACCGCGCUUUUGGCCUGAUCGUGACUCGCUCGUCUCGCUGUGUACACGUUUUUUUUUAAUCUUGUAACCUUAACUUUCAUUUCAUGUUCAUUAACGCAAUAAACUCUUUAUAACCCAGAGUUGUGAAUAGAUUAUCUUUCUCUGCUCUUCAGAUAUCAAAAAAAUUGUAUCUAAAGUAAUUUUUUAAAAAUUGUUAGCACUUUUAAUUAAAAAAUGGUUUUGUAAAGCAAUAUUUAAAUUAUUUAUAUUAUUAUUGACAUUUCAGAUAGCUAAAUCGAUCAGUAUAUACUUACAACUAUAAGAAAAACAAAUUAAAACAAAUUAAUACUAAUCAGUGACAUGUAUAAAUCAUAAUAACAAUAAACGUUAUUUAUUAUUUUAUUGUAAUAAUAACAUUUAUAUAUUCAUUCUUUUAGUGUAUAAUUUUGCAAAUCAAUAAACAAGAUAUUAAAACUCUAUUUUAAUAUUAAAUGACGCAAAAUUACAUAAUGCACUGAUAACUUUCUGAUUUACAGAAUGCGGAUAUAGUUAACUAUUUUGUAAAUUACAGAUUAUAAUUUGUACAAUAAUGAUAUUCUUCAUUUGAAUGUUUAAAACAGAAACCAUGCACAGCGCAUAAAAGCGGCUAUCCCACAAACACUGCUGUUCACGACCGUGGCGUGUGCGGGAACAAGGAUGGCGCGGAGUGGCGGG